rnacentral:lncRNA from 1 species
GGAUAAACUGCAUUGUCAUUUCUUUUAAGUAUUUGUUCUUGCUUUGUUUUGUCUUUUCAUGAUAUAGCCAUGGUUGCUGUCUGCCAAUACCCAUGUUUCUCCUUUUUCAUUGGGAAGCAGCCAUGGGUUUAGAGGAGAUUAAGUGUCCCAGCUCUUCUUGUACUAUUUAAAAUUUAUCUAAUCCCAUAGGGAACCCCACCCCAUUGUUAUAGUGAUUAAUUCAGGUAACAGAGGCUUAAGCCAGUCAGAGGACAACAUGCCCAUGGUCAGUGGCAUUGAUAUAAAAAUGUGUAUGUGAUUAAAGUUGAAUCAAUGAGUCAUGGGAGAAGAUUUUCUAAGGGCUUUAUAGAAAUAGUUACUUGCCCUUCCAGGUAAGCUAUCAAAAACCAACCCGCUAGUAGUUACUGGGAAAUUGUAGUACAAGAAGUAGCUUAACAAUCUUGACCCCAGGAGUGAAGCCAGCCUUAUAAUGAUGUUGAAAUUGGCACAAAGGAAGGCAGAGUAGAGAGACAGAAGAAAGCUACUUGCUUAGAGAGACCACUGAGCUACUGAAUGAAACAUACUGAAGACCUUCCACUUUAUGAGGUCAUAAAUAAGUCCUCUUUGUUGUUUGAGUCACUUUAAGAGGACUAUUCCUAAAAGCCAAAUUUAACAACACAUCCAGCCUCAGACUCAGCAACUAUACCCCGGACCAUUUGCAUCAUGCUUGGAGUAUACUGUUAGAAUACAGAAAGGCAGCUGUGUAAAGAAAUAAGGGUCAUGAAAUCUGAUGAAGAGUUUUGAGGUCAUGUACAAGAAGGUGGGAAAAUAAGGAGAUCAUCAGAAAAAAAGACUCAGAAUAAAACUAGUGGUUUUUUGUUGCUGUUUUGUGUUGUUUUUAUCAACUCUGUGCCAGCCACUCUGACAAUUCACAGAUGCCAUCUCAUUUGUAAAACCAUCUCAUCUGGUCCCUGGACUUUGGGACUCAUUCUGCUCAACUUGAUCCCCACUCUGCCCAUUGAUCACAUACACACGUUUACACCUGGCAGAAGAGGAAGAGGAGGCAUGAAUGAAUGGCCUCUUCAGAAUGGAGAAAAGUUCAUGUCUAUGCAGCCUCUUCCACCUCUAGGGAAUCAUCAGUAUAAGCACUGGGCUUAUUUGCAGCUUACAGUCUGCAGCUAA